rnacentral:rRNA from 1 species
CCUACGGGAGGCAGCAGUGGGGAAUAUUGCACAAUGGGGGAAACCCUGAUGCAGCGACGCCGCGUGAGUGAGGAAGUAUUUCGGUAUGUAAAGCUCUAUCAGCAGGGAAGAAAAUGACGGUACCUGACUAAGAAGCCCCGGCUAACUACGUGCCAGCAGCCGCGGGAAUACGUAGGGGGAAAGCGUUAUCUGGAUUUACUGGGUGUAAAGGGAGCGGAGACGGCAAAUCAAGUAUGAAGUGAAACCCCAGGGCUCAACCUUGGGACUGAAUUGGAAACUGAGUAGCUAGAGUGCAGGAGAGGUAAGCGGAAUUCCUAGUGUAGCGGUGAAAUGCGUAGAGAUUAGGAGGAACACCAGUGGCGAAGGCGGCUUACUGGACUGUAACUGACGUUGAGGCUCGAAAGCGUGGGGAGCAAACAGGAUUAGAUACCCUAGUAGUC